GCUGCAGUGGGGACACGCGACAGGGAAAGGCCGUCAGGCUCAGUGUGAGCCCAGAGGGCAGCUCCGCGUGACGCCCUGGGCUCCGCCCCCAGGCCCACAGCUCAGCGAGGGCAGGCGUGCUCACCGUGCUGGACCCAAAGACCCCCCCCUGUUCGCAGGCCGCCCGAAGCUCUCACGUGCAUGCAGCACGCCAACUCCAGGGCACCUCAGGGGGCUGAACCGUGUCCCUGAGAGACGUCACCAGGAACCACACAUGUGGCCUCACCUGGAGGAAGGGUCUUGCGAAUGCAACUCAAGUGUCACCACUGAACCGCCCCCAGGGCCUCAAAAUGCAAACCUAUGUGCAGAGGGAGGCUUCAAAAAGGUGACGGGAUCAUGGGGUGGGACCUGACCCUCAGGCCUGGUGUCCUUGUGCAGAGAGGCCAGUGCCCAUGCACAUGGAGUCCACGGGAAGAGGCAGGCCACUAGGGAGCCACUCCCCAGCCCUUUUUAUUUUGACACAGGGUCUCACUACAUGGCUGAGGCUGGCCUCUGACUUGUGAUCCUUCUGCCUCGGCCUCCAGAGCUGCUGGGAUGACAGGUGUGGCCCCCACGUGCGGGUGCUGCGUGGAGCUGGCUUCCCCAGCGGGCAGUUGGGGAGCUCUGCUUCUGGAGGCUAUGCCCCCACCCGGGGACCUUCAGCUGGCACUGCCUGGCAGGACUCCCAGACUGUCCACACGUGGCCAAGGGGAGUGACGUGUGGCUGGAGUCUGGUCCUGUCCCCUGGAACCUGAGCUGCGGCAGGCGGCUGUGGAAGGGCCCACCGAGCGCCUACACCCCCAGGGCAGGACCGUGCCGUCCACUCCCUUCGGGUCUUCACCUCCCUGGCAUUUCACGGUGCUCCACCUACACCAGGUGCCCGGCAGACUCCGCUUCUGUCCCCUCCACAUGCACCUGAACCCGGCCUCCCCUGCAGGCCUGCUCUCAGCUCCUCAGUGGGGUCCAGCCAGCCCUCUGCCUGGGACAGCCACCACAGUGACCACCUCACUGUGGGGUGCUGGAUGCAGGCUGCCUGACUCGCCCCGCUGACCACACCCCAAAAGGACGUGCGGACGUGCCAGGGACACCCUCGGAGCCUCAGGCACCUCCAGGCCCCCAUGCCACAUGCACUGAUCCCCAGCUAGAUGCCCUCGGAGCCCCCCAGGUGACAGAGCCCCCCAGGUGACGCCCGACAGUAAAGGCCCUGGCCCGGGUCCCUCGCCCCCCUGCUCUCUGCCCGGUGGGGCCUGUAGGGUGACCUGCCGCAGCCCCGGCCUGGGACUGGCGAACUGGCGAACUCCACUCCCUCCCACGGGUCAGAGCUGACCACAUGCCGAGCCCCGAGCUCCUGGCUCCCAAGGGCCACAGGAGUACAGACGCUCCUGUGAGAGGGACACCUGACAGGGUGGACGCCAGGCCUCAGGCUGUCUGCCAGGACGAGGUGCCGUGGAAGGCACCCUGUGGACACCGGCACACCCUCUGGGGGUCGGUGGGCAGGGCCAGCUAUGGCCACUCUCCGAGGCCACGGGGCCCAGUGCAGGGAGCCCCACCUCCCACCCGCACUGUCAUUUCAUCAAGGGACACGGGUCCUCACCUGCCAGGUGUCUACCCCCAGGGGACACAUGGCCACGAGGUCUGGGGACAGUUUUGAGUGUAUAAUUAGAAUGGGAGCAUUUAGGGCAGGAGCCUUCUCUGUGGCAAGCCACCCCAGGCCUGCAGGGUGCUCAGCACGGCCCACUCCAGGCCAGGGCACCCCGAAUCGGGACAGCCGCCUGUGUCCCUAGCAUGGCCCGGUUACCCCGGGGACAGAUGGCCCAGAAGAGAACCUGCUGCAGUGGAGAUGGUUUCCAUAGAGAAGCCACCUCACCUGCUCCCUCAGCAGCCACCGGAGGCUUCUGCGAGCCUCUCCUGGGGACAUGGUGGCUCACGGGGACCACUGCUGCUCCCAGAGGCUGAGCACGGAUCCAAAGGAUGUGCAGGAGGCAGGGGGCCUGCUCUGUGGCGGGCCGGGCUGCGAGCUCCGCGUGCUGAGGGAGGGGCACGGCCCUGAGCGGCCAAGUGCGGAGGCCAGGAGGACCCCAGAGGCCGCACGUGCUGCAGGAGGAUGGGCCGCAGGGGACAGGAGGCCACCCACAGACGCCCAAGUGUCAAGGCGUGAGGAGAAUGGGGCUAGAGGCGGCACACGGGGUGCAGAUCUCCAGGGACGGCUCAGUCACCCUCUCGGGGCACAGCCACGCUCACUCCAGGUGCCCAGAGGACAGCUGCCUGGCCAAGGACACUGAGUGCCACCGUGCGGCUCUGACGGCGGCUGGCCCUCUGCUCAGUCCGCAGCCGCGGGUGGUGGUAGUCCCACCCGCUGGCAGCCAUGACUGAGGUCCCACGCCCACACUGGCUGCUGGCGGGGUGGCCUGGGCUGGGCCUCCCUCAGAUCCUCACUGCCCCACUGCCCACGCCUGGCUCUCAGUCCCUGAGGCUGGCAGGAGGGUGGGCACUGCCCCAGGCCGGCCAGGUCCACCCCCUUACUUGCCUUUUGAUGACCUCCGUGGUCACGAAAUCCCUCCAGCCAGAAGACGUGGCCAUAGGAGCAACGGCCCUCAUUCCCCGCCCCACCCGCGGACCAGGCAGGGGGCACAUGUCCCCAGGGCUGGAUCUAGGGCCGACUGAAAAUGCCACCCUGGCACUCACAGGCUUGAAGGGACAGCCCAGCUCCAGGGACAAGAACAGGAAGUCCAGGAUGUCCACCAGGCCCUGCCCACACUGGCCCAGGGAGAAAGAGGAGCUCACCUGAGGUCACCAGGCAGGCAUGGCCAGGCCACCCGCUGCGGCCCCCUGAGGGGCUUGAACCGUGGGGCCCUGAAGGAGUGCUCGCUCGAGGAGUGGGCCACUGCAGGACCACCAGGUUGGGUGUCAUGGCAGACAGACCCUGAGACCGUCCCCAGUGCCCCAGCCUCCUGAGUGGCAGGGGGCUGGCCCUCGCUUCCCACCAGCAGGGGAGAAGGCGGCCACACUGUCACUGCAUGCUGAGCCACAGCUGGAGACUCGGGGCAGAGCCCAGCGCUCUCAGCCUGCAGCAGAGCACAUGGGCAAGGCCCCAGGCUGACGGCGGCCACGGGAGCCUGUAGGUGGAUUCCCUCCAGGACACGUCCCCACUGCUACCCUGUGGGGAGCCGCACUGCAUAACCGCACCUUCCAGUCCCGAUGCCGGGGCUCUUCCCUGUGCCCCAGGGUUGAGUUACACUCACCUGUCCCUGGUAACCCCGCCCUUUUUUGGACAGAACUUUCUAAGAACAAGAGCCCCCAGGUAAGAGCCCCUCCCACCCUGCCCCUCUCCCGCCAGUCUCCCCUGCCUUCCCGGCUCUGGUUCUCGGGGAGCCGGGGCCGAGGCCGCAGAGGCCGUCCUGAGGCUGUUGAAAGGGAACUUGUGUCUGUGUUGCAUUUGGGGUCCCUGGAGAUUCACAUGAGUGACCUGAGGUUCAGCUGCCCGUGCAGGUCGGGGGCAGCAGUCCUGGGUGACCCUGCAGCACAGGACAGUGAGGCUGUGCCCAGACUCCUGACCACAGAGACUGAGAGACAACAGCAUCUGUGGCCUGAAGACACAGGUCUGUUGUGACCUGCCACCCAGCAACAGCUGACAGACGCAGGAGCGGGAAAACAGCCACACUCGGUUCAGGACGGAGCGUCAUGCUGCCUGGAGUGGGCAGAGGGUCUGGAUACUCACCUCCCAUUGGGCUCAUCAGUCUAGUCCCAACACAGAAUCAAGGCCCCCGCUGGAGUUGGUAUCGGGGCUGGUGAACCAUCAGAGCCCCUUGGCCCCAAGGUGCCCAGGGCUCCAACUGUCAGCAGGGAGCAUUACCUUUUCCCGCACGGCAGGCAGCAGCGCAUUGAAGCACGUGGCCAGAAAGACUCCGCCUCCAAAGGUGUUGCAGAGGGAAAGAAUCUUUUUGGAGCGAUGGGCCUUCUCAAAGUCCGUCUCGAUGACCUUCACGGGGAGCAGGGAGCCCAGCAGCAUGAAGAAGAACACGCUCACCAUGCAGAGGAUCUUGGCCACUAACAACUUCAUCAUGGCGGUGGCUGGGGACGCCGUGGUCACCGAGGGCCCGGGUUAUGCAUGGGUGCACACACCCGCGCUACGGGGCCUGACCACGCGGCUGGAGGUGCAUGACGGCACUCGGCCACUGCGGACACGGGGGCAGCCACGUUGGCCUGGGGUCACCCAGGACAGUCACACCACACCCCUUACCCACCCCAGGGCUCCCGUACAUCACUCCUCCCAUGAAAAAUCUCCCUGCACUGCACCAACCAGGGCAGCCAUUGGUCACGUGUCUGUUAAUUAAAAUAAGACACGAUGCGGGGCUGGGCUGGGGCUCAGGGGCAGAGUGCUGGCCUGGCCACGUGUGAGGCGCUGGGUUCGAGCCUCAGCGUCACAUAAACAAAGUCAUAAGAAAACCCCAGAUACAACGUGAGAGCCUGCGUCCUCGGCCUUGUGCCUGUGCCCGGGAGCCUAGUGGGCUACCCAGCAGACACCUGCGCUGCUGCGGAACUCCCUGGGGCGCUGCUCCCCUGCCUUCCUGAGACUCCAGCUCUUCACCCCACGGCUGGGGUCUGCGUGACCCACUUCUGCCUCACCUCGGCCCACACCAGCUUUCCCAGGCCUCGAACGUGUCAAGCUUGUCCUGCCUCAGGGCCACUCUGCCUGGAAGACCCUUCUCCCCCAAGUUUCUCUCUUUCUUUCUUAAGCUGUGGUGGACACAACACCUUUAUUUUAUUUAUUUUUAUGUGGUGCUGAGGAUGGAACCCAGCGCCUCCCAUGUGCUAGGCGAGAACCCUCCUGCUGAGUCCCAGCCCCAGCCCUCCCCUAGAUCUCUAAGGAUGCAUCCUCGUCUUUUGGUUCACUGCUGCCCCAGGACCUCCCGGGAGGACCUCCCCUGGCCGACCCCUGCUCUAAUCCAGGUCCCUUGCACCUACCGCGAGGCCUGGCACAACAGAUGCUCGGCAACCACUGGCUGGACGGGCUGGAGCCUUGGGCCAAAGUGCAGUGGAUUCUGUCCUGGACCCAAAAAUGUCACCAUUAUUGAGUGGAGUCUCAUUUCCUUUCCCGCAAGUAGGUGCCAGCCCUUCUCAUGGCCCAGCCCUCACCUCACCCUGGCUCUAGGCUCUGCUCUGAUGUCCCUGGUCACAGCUGCCUCCUCCCUCCCCUUUUCUGGCAUUAUUUUCUUCUAUUUUGUGCACUGGGGAAACUUUAUUAAUUAAAGACAUUUAAAGGCA